UCGCCCUCCUGCUGCUGUGCUCCUGCUUCAUGCUGGCUCCGACAAAGGGAGAUGAGGUUUCACUACAUUGCCCAAGCUGGUCUCGAACUCUUCCUGCCUCGGUCUCCCAAAGUGCUGGGAUGACAGAAGUGAGCCACCGCGCCUGGCCAGAUUUUGCCUUCCUAACAAGCCCUCGUGUGCUGCUGAAGCUGGGGAUCCACAGGUCUCACCUUGCAUGGCCACACCUACCUGUUUCCUCUCCUCAAAGUUGACAGAUGUGCCAGGGAUGUGACAGAUGGUACAGUCAAGAUGACCUAGCUGUAACCUGGCUACUAGAGGACCAAGGAGAAAAAUAAACUUCUACCACGCUUUCGAAAACAAGCACUCAAACUCAGGAGAUACUUGAUUGAAGUUGAAAGAGUGGUGCAUUCCCCAAGGCAGUACCCUCAUGAAUGGGAUUAGUGUCCUUUAAUAAAAGAGACCCAAGAGAGGUCCCUUGCUCCUUCCAGCAUGUGAGAUUACAGCAAAAAGAUGCUGUCUAUGAACCAGAAAGUGGGCCCUCACCAGACACUGAAUCUGUCGGCACCUUGAUCUUGGAUUUCCCAGCUUCCAGAAGUGGGAGAAAUAAAUUUCUCUUGUAAAUAAGAUAAACAGUUUAUGAUAUUUUAUUAUAGCAGCCCCAAGGGACUAAGACAGAAAUCCAGUUGUACACCAGAUGGUUGUAACACGUUCAGUGGAAUGAAAACCUUGUGUCUUGGCAGGGUGCAGUGGCUCAUGCCUGUAAUCCCAACGCUUUGGGAGGCUGAGGUGGGAGGGUCACUUGAGGCCAGGUGUUCAAGACCAGCCUGGGCAACAUAAGGAGAUGUCCAGAUAGCCGGCAAAACAGUGUUCCUGGGUAGGCCUGUGAUGGUGUUUCCAGAAGAAAUUAGUGCUGUGAGUCGGUAGAGUGAGUAAAAAAGAGUCUCUUAAAAAAAAUGUUGGCCGGGCACGGGGCUCACGCCUGUAAUCCUAGCACUUUACAAGGCUAAGGCAAGUGGAUCACUUGAGGUCAGGAGUUCGAGACCAGCCUGGCCAACAUGGUGAAACCCCAUCUCUACUAAAAAAUACAAAAAUUAGCUAGGAAUGGUGGUGUGUGCCUGUAGUCCCAGCUGCUCAGGAGGCUGAGGCAUGAGAAUCACUUGAACUCAGGAGGUGGAGGUUGCAGUGAGCCGAGAUCGUGCCACUGCACUCCAGCCUGGGUGUGGUGGUAUGCACCUGUAGUCCCAGCUACUCAGGAGGCUGAGGCAGGAAGAUCGCCUGAGCCCAGGAGAUUGAGGCUGCAGCACUCCAGCCUGGGCAACAGAGCAAGAUCUGGUUUCCAAAAAACCCAAAAAAACCUUGUGUCUUCAUGUGGAGAUUAAGUAUGGUUUAAGGAGAUGUGUAUGGAUGACAAGUUCAAAAAGGAUGGUCGUGUGAUGGUUAAUUUUAUGUGUCAGUUUGACUGAGCUAAGGGAUGUCCAGAUAGCUGGCAAAACAGUGUUCCUGGGUAGUCCUGUGAUGAUGUUUCCAGAACAAAUUAGCAUUGUGAGUUGGUAGAUUGAGUGAAAAAGAUCCUCCCAGGUGGAUCGCGAGGUCAGGAGAUCGAGACCAUCCUGGCUAACACGGUGAAACCCCAUCUCUACUAAAAAUACAAAAAAUUAGCUGGGCAUGGUGGCGGGUGCCUGUAGUCCCAGCUACUCAGGGGGCUGAGGCAGAAGAACGGCGUGAACCCGGGAGGCAGAGCUUGCAGUGAGCGGAGAUUGCACCACUGCACUCCAGCCUGGGCGAGAGAGUGAGACUCUGUCUCAGAAAAAAAAAAAAAAAUUAGAAAAAGAUCCUCCCUGUCAGUGGGUAUCAUCCACUGUUGAGUGGACAAAAGGUGGAAGAGGGGCGAAUCUGCUCUUUCUGGGCUGACAUCCAUUUUCUCUUGCCCUUGGAGGUCAGUGCUCCUAGCUCUUGCUUUUGGGCUUAGACUGGGACUUACAUCAUUGUGCCUCUGGUCCUCAGUCUUCAGAUUCAGACUGAAUUAUACCACCAGCUUUCCUGGUUUUUCAGCUUGCAGAUGGCAGAUCCUGGGACUUCUUGGCCUCCAUAACUGCAUGAGCCAAUUCCCAUAAUAAAUCUACACUUGAUCUUAGCCACAAGGCCGAGAAACGAUCAAUUCCUAUAAUAAAUCUCUCUUAUAAUAUCCUGUUGGUUCUGUUUCUCUGGAGAACCCUGACUAAUAUACCUUUUUUUUUUUUUUUUUUUUUUUUUUGAGACAGUCUUGCUCUGUUGCCCGGGCUAGAGCACAGUGGUGCCAUCACAGCUCACUGCAACCUCCAUCUCCCAGGUUCAAAUGAUUCUCCUGCCUCAGCGUCCCGAGUAGCUGGGAUUACAGGCACCUGCCACUAUGCCUGGCUAAUUUUUGUAUUUUUAGUACAAAUGGGGUUUCAUCAUGUUGGCCAGGCUGAUCUCGAACCCCUGACCUCAAGUGACCUGCCCGCCUCAGCCUCCCAAAAUGCUGCAAUUACAGGCAUGAGCCACCGCGCCCGGCCCUAAUACACCUUUUAACCUAAAAUUUCAGGACUUUCUUUACUUAGAAAAUUAUAUACACAUAUAUAGCUGUGAUUGUGCCACUGCAAUCCAGCCUGGGCGACAGAGUGAGCCCUUGUCUCAAAAGAAAAAAAAAGUUUGGUAUAUAAUCUUCCAAUCCCUUUCUAUGAAUUUAAAUGUUUAUUUUCUACCUAGUAAUCUUAUUUUUUUUAAUUCUUUAUUUCCUAGAUAAUGUUCAUUGAACCUUUUUGUAUUGAGAAAUUUUAAGGCACAUUUAAAAAAUAUAUUCUAACCAGGCACCGUGGCUAUCUUAGCACUUUAGGAGGCUGAGGCGGGUGAUCAGUUGAGGUCAGGAGUUCAAGACCGGCCUGAUGGUGAAAACCCUGUCUCUACAAAAAAUACAAAAAUUAGCCGGGCACAGUGGUGUGACCCUGUAAUCCCAGAUACUGGGGAGGCUGAGGCAUGAAAAUUGCUUGAACAUGGGAGACAGAGGUUGCAGUGAGCCAAGAUUGCACCACUGCACUCCAGCCUGGGCGACAGAGUGAGGCUCUGUCUCCAAAAAUAAUAAGAAGAAAGAGAGAGAGAGAGAAACAAACAAACAAACAGAGGCAAAAUUAAUAUAAGUAGCAUUUUUUGUUGUGGUUGUUGUUUUCUUCCUGAGACAGAGUUUUGCUCUUACGCCCAGGCUGAAGUGCAAUGGCCAUGAUCUCCGCUCACCACAACCUCCGCCCCCAGGGUUCAAGCGAUUCUCCUGCCUGAGCUGGAGAUUACAGGCACCCACCACCACCACGCCCAGCUAAUGUUGUAGUUUUAGUAGAGACAGGGUUUGGCUAUGUUGGACAGGCUGGUCUCGAACUCCUGACCUCAGGCGAUCCACCCACCUCGGCCUCCCAAAGUGCUAGGAUUAUAGGCCUGAGCCACUGCACCCAGCCCCGUUUUUUUUGUUUGUUUGUUUGUUUUUUUUUUUUUUUUAUUUUUAUUUUUUAUUUUUUAUUUUUUAUUUUUAUUGAUCAUUCUUGGGUGUUUCUCGCAGAGGGGGAUUUGGCAGGGUCAUAGGACAAUAGUGGAGGGAAGGUCAGCAGAUAAAC
rnacentral:lncRNA from 1 species